rnacentral:rRNA from 1 species
UCCUCCCUCUGGCGGCGUGCUUAACACAUGCAAGUCGAACGGAAAGGCCCUGCUUUUGUGGGGUGCUCGAGUGGCGAACGGGUGAGUAACACGUGAGUAACCUGCCCUUGACUUUGGGAUAACUUCAGGAGACUGGGGCUAAUACCGGAUAGGAGCUCCUGCUGCAUGGUGGGGGUUGGAAAGUUUCGGCGGUUGGGGAUGGACUCGCGGCUUAUCAGCUUGUUGGUGGGGUAGUGGCUUACCAAGGCUUUGACGGGUAGCCGGCCUGAGAGGGUGACCGGCCACAUUGGGACUGAGAUACGGCCCAGACUCCUACGGGAGGCAGCAGUGGGGAAUAUUGCACAAUGGGCGGAAGCCUGAUGCAGCAACGCCGCGUGCGGGAUGACGGCCUUCGGGUUGUAAACCGCUUUCGCCUGUGACGAAGCGUGAGUGACGGUAAUGGGUAAAGAAGCACCGGCUAACUACGUG